CCUACGGGUGGCAGCAGUGGGGAAUUUUGCGCAAUGCUCGUAAGAGUGACGCAGCGACGCCGCGUGAAUGACGAAGGCCUUCGGGUCGUAAAGUUCUUUCGACAGGGAAGAAAAUGCCUAUAAGUAACUGUGUAUGUAUUGACGGUACCUGUAUAAGCAGCCCCGGCUAACUCCGUGCCAGCAGCCGCGGUAAUACGGAGGGGGCGAGCGUUGUUCGGAGUGACUGGGCGUAAAGAGCACGUAGGCGGUGUUGUAAGUCAUUAGUCAAAGACUAGAGCUCAACUUUAGUAAGGCUAGUGAUACUAUAAUACUAGAGUAUCAGAGAGGAUUGCAGAAUUCCUGGUGUAGCGGUAAAAUGCGUAGAUAUAUGGAAGAACACCAGUGGCGAAGGCGGCCGCCUGGCCUGUUACUGACGCUGAGGCACGAAAGCGUGGGGAGCAAAUAGGAUUAGAUACCCUGGUAGUC
rnacentral:rRNA from 1 species